CCCCUAGAGGUGUUGCAGGUGUGGCUGCAGUGUCACGUGUGCAUUGAAGAGAGAGGAUAUAUCUACACUCAGUGUUCUGACCUAUAAACUUCUGAAUGAUUCCUGAAAAA
rnacentral:snoRNA from 1 species